rnacentral:rRNA from 1 species
CCAAGGCUAAAUACUCCUGACUGACCGAUAGUGAACCAGUACCGUGAGGGAAAGGCGAAAAGAACCCCGGCGAGGGGAGUGAAAAAGAACCUGAAACCGUGUACGUACAAGCAGUGGGAGCACAGGUUUACCUGUGUGACUGCGUACCUUUUGUAUAAUGGGUCAGCGACUUAUAUUCUGUAGCAAGGUUAACCGCAUAGGGGAGCCGGAGGGAAACCGAGUCUUAAUUGGGCGUUAAGUUGCAGGGUAUAGACCCGAAACCCGGUGAUCUAGCCAUGGGCAGGUUGAAGGUUGGGUAACACUAACUGGAGGACCGAACCGACUAAUGUUGAAAAAUUAGCGGAUGACCUGUGGCUGGGGGUGAAAGGCCAAUCAAACCGGGAGAUAGCUGGUUCUCCCCGAAAGCUAUUUAGGUAGCGCCUCGUGAAUUCAUCUCCGGGGGUAGAGCACUGUUUCGGCUAGGGGGCCAUCCCGGCUUACCAACCCGAUGCAAACUGCGAAUACCGGAGAAUGUUAUCACGGGAGACACACGGCGGGUGCUAACGUCCGUCGUGAAGAGGGAAACAACCCAGACCGCCAGCUAAGGUCCCAAAGUCAUGGUUAAGUGGGAAACGAUGUGGGAAGGCCCAGACAGCCAGGAUGUUGGCUUAGAAGCAGCCAUCAUUUAAAGAAAGCGUAAUAGCUCACUGGUCGAGUCGGCCUGCGCGGAAGAUGUAACGGGGCUAAACCAUGCACCGAAGCUGCGGCAGCGACGCUUAUGCGUUCGUUGGGUAGGGGAGCGUUCUGUAAGCCUGUGAAGGUGGCCUGUGAGGGUUGCUGGAGGUAUCAGAAGUGCGAAUGCUGACAUAAGUAACGAUAAAGCGGGUGAAAAGCCCGCUCGCCGGAAGACCAAGGGUUCCUGUCCAACGUUAAUCGGGGCAGGGUGAGUCGACCCCUAAGGCGAGGCCGAAAGGCGUAGUCGAUGGGAAACGGGUUAAUAUUCCCGUACUUGGUGUUACUGCGAAGGGGGGACGGAGAAGGCUAUGUUGGCCGGGCGACGGUUGUCCCGGUUUAAGCGUGUAGGUGUGUG